rnacentral:misc_RNA from 1 species
GUAUCCUUGGUGACGGUGAGAUGAUGGUGGGAGAGUGUGAGACCGGAAUCGCCAAAAGAAUCAAAUACUUAGAAGAAUGAAGGCACGUCUGUGGUAUUUAUCAUUCUGUUACAAUAACAGUAGAAAUGGGUAUUUGACAUUUAUGACUUUGACUUUAAUUUACGAUUUGUACAACCAUACUGCAUAAGUCUAGUAUCCACUCUUAUACAAUACAGUAUAAAACUCGACUCAUACUAUAUACAUGUAUAGACUGUAUAGCGAAAAGCAAAAAAAAAAAAAAAAAAGCUAAUACCACAACACCUCUUAAUUAAGUCUCUUGGAGACUUAUUGUUUUUGUACGGUUUCUUCUUCUUCUUGAACCCCAGUGUGGUCAUGACCCCCCUCAAACAGGAAGUGCACAAAUAACUUGAAAAUGGUUAAGAUCCCCACCCCUAAACCAUAUAUAUUCUUGUUCCUUGUGUCAAGGGGCAUCAAAUGUUAUGUAGGUCAUGGACCCUUGGGGUGGUCUUGACCCCCCUCUAAGAGGAAGUGCCCAAAUAUCUUGAAAAUGUUCGAGAUGCCCGCCCCUAAACCAUAUAUAUUCUUGUUCCAUGUGUUAAGGGGAAUCACAUGGUAUGUAGGCCAUUGGCCCGGGGGUUUUCCUGACCCCCUUCAAACAGGAACAAAUAACUUGAAAACAGUUAAGAUCACCACCCCUCAACCAUAUAUAUUCUUGUUCCUGGUGUCAAGGGGCAUCAAAUGGUAUGUACAAUGUAGGUCAUGGGCUUUUGGGGUGGUCUUGACCCCCCUCAAAGAGGAAGUGCCCAAAUAUCUUGAAAACGGUCAAGAUCCCCACCCCUUAACCAUAUAUAUUCUUGUUCUUUGAGUCAUGUUUGUUCACCUGAUGUAUAGUAAAGGACCCCUGGGGAUCAUCAUGAAACUUCAGAAAUAAAUAUAAUCAAGUUCUUAGUCUUUUUGUCUGUAAAGUUUGACCCAUGUUGGUCAUCCCUACUCCAAUGAUAGCCGUUCGUUUGGGAGACUUUAUAAUCGCCCCGAUUAUAAUUACAUGUACAUCUUGUUAAUGAUAGAAUUCAUAUUAUAUAUCAUAAGAUGUUGCAAUAUACAAGAUUGAAUAAAGCAAAACAAUUCAAGAAUAUUACUUGAUUUUGAAUUUUUACAGUAUAAUCAUUAAUCUUGAUUUACUAAUGAAAUUAUCAAAAUUUUUGUAACGUCAGAAAUCAGUACAAUGCCAGGUAAUCUGUCUGGAGCUGUAUUCGUUGUGUGGGAACGGAGGAGGUUAAGAAAUAUUAGUACUUGUAUACCGACAUUUUAAUGAUGAUCAUGUAUAAAGGCAUUUUAUUUCAUUCCAGCCAAUUGAAUGUAUACUUAUAUGGUUUGCUAUUGAUUACGUUUUUGUAUAUUUAAACAAUAAAAUGAU